rnacentral:lncRNA from 1 species
CCUCCAAAGAGUGUCUCAGUGUCCAUCAGUCCAUGUUGUAAACUAGUGGAGGGAGAUUCAGUGUCUCUGAGCUGCAGCAGUGAUUCAAACCCUCCUGCUCUGAACUUCAGCUGGUUUAAAGGAGGAUUGUUUGUAGGAUCUGGAAGAAUCUACACCAUCUCAAAUAUGAGCUCUGAUCACAGUGAAGAAUACAAGUGUAGAUCCAUCAAUGAACAUGGAGAGAAAUACUCUGAUGCUGUGACUUUAAACAUCAUGUGUGAGUUUUAUGAAUCAUAUUCUAUAUUUUAACCACACACACCUGCUUUCUUCAUUAUUUGUCAAUAUAUUUUGUGGUAUCUAGUCCUGUUAAACAUACAGUACGGUGUGUGUUUUUUUUCUGUAUUUCAGGAGUCAGAUGUUUCUCGUCAGUAGCUCUAGCUGUUGCUGCUGUUGUCGGUGUUUUACUCGGUGGAGCAUCCAGUGCUUUCAUGAUGUACAUUUGAUCUGUGAUCCCACUGAAGACACAUACACAGCUCUUGAGCUCAAGUCCACGACCUCUGACCUCUACGACACACUCACAGUAAGUGAGACGUCAAAGUCAGAUCAUCAUCACAGAUGAUCACAUGACCAUCUCUCGCUCUCUUCCACACAGACCGUUCGUCCCAGACCUCCUGAAGACUCUUGAUCCUAAACAUGAGAAUCCAUCAGUAAGUGUCUGAACCUCAGCUCCUCUCAAGAUAAUCAAUAAAACUCUCUUCAGUUCUAGUUUGAUUGUUUCAUGAAGCUUGUGGACGGAGGACGACAAAGGAA